rnacentral:rRNA from 1 species
CAGCAGCCGCGGUAAUACGUAGGGUGCGAGCGUUAAUCGGAAUUACUGGGCGUAAAGCGUGCGCAGGCGGUUGUGUAAGACAGGUGUGAAAUCCCCGGGCUUAACCUGGGAACUGCGCUUGUGACUGCACAGCUAGAGUAUGGCAGAGGGGGGUGGAAUUCCACGUGUAGCAGUGAAAUGCGUAGAGAUGUGGAGGAACACCGAUGGCGAAGGCAGCCCCCUGGGCCAAUACUGACGCUCAUGCACGAAAGCGUGGGGAGCAAACAGGAUUAGGUACCCGUGUAGUCCCUGUCUCUUAUAC